rnacentral:rRNA from 1 species
AAGGCUAAAUACUCCUGACUGACCGAUAGUGAACCAGUACCGUGAGGGAAAGGCGAAAAGAACCCCGGCGAGGGGAGUGAAAAAGAACCUGAAACCGUGUACGUACAAGCAGUGGGAGCACAGGUUUACCUGUGUGACUGCGUACCUUUUGUAUAAUGGGUCAGCGACUUAUAUUCUGUAGCAAGGUUAACCGAAUAGGGGAGCCGUAGGGAAACCGAGUCUUAACCGGGCGUUAAGUUGCAGGGUAUAGACCCGAAACCCGGUGAUCUAGCCAUGGGCAGGUUGAAGGUUGGGUAACACUAACUGGAGGACCGAACCGACUAAUGUUGAAAAAUUAGCGGAUGACCUGUGGCUGGGGGUGAAAGGCCAAUCAAACCGGGAGAUAGCUGGUUCUCCCCGAAAGCUAUUUAGGUAGCGCCUCGUGAAUUCAUCUCCGGGGGUAGAGCACUGUUUCGGCUAGGGGGCCAUCCCGGCUUACCAACCCGAUGCAAACUGCGAAUACCGGAGAAUGUUAUCACGGGAGACACACGGCGGGUGCUAACGUCCGUCGUGAAGAGGGAAACAACCCAGACCGCCAGCUAAGGUCCCAAAGUCAUGGUUAAGUGGGAAACGAUGUGGGAAGGCCCAGACAGCCAGGAUGUUGGCUUAGAAGCAGCCAUCAUUUAAAGAAAGCGUAAUAGCUCACUGGUCGAGUCGGCCUGCGCGGAAGAUGUAACGGGGCUAAACCAUG